UACGUAGGGGGCAAGCGUUGUCCGGAAUCAUUGGGCGUAAAGAGCGUGUAGGCGGCCCGAUAAGUCCGCUGUGAAAGUCCAGGGCUCAACCCUGGGAUGCCGGUGGAUACUGUCGGGCUCGAGUCCGGAAGAGGAGUGUGGAAUUCCUGGUGUAGCGGUGAAAUGCGCAGAUAUCAGGAAGAACACCAAUGGCGAAAGCAGCUUUCUGGGACGGUACUGACGCUGAGACGCGAAAGCGUGGGGAGCGAACAGG
rnacentral:rRNA from 1 species